rnacentral:lncRNA from 1 species
GAUGCGAACAAAAACCCUUGCCACUAUAGGUUAUAUGGCACCAGGUUUGCUUCAAACAACUUUUUUUUAGUUCAUUUUAAAUUUUCUAAAUCAUUGAUUUUUACGAUCCUCAUAUCAAAUUGUUACUGAUUAUUUAUCUAAUUGUGAAAUUAAUUUGAUUCAUAGAGUACGGCAUUGAAGGAGAAGUAUCUACAAAAAGUGAUGUUUACAGCUAUGGGAUUAUGUUGAUGGAAACUUUUACCAAGAAAAAACCCACAGAUGAAAUUUUUGUUGGAGAAUUGAGCUUAAAGCGUUAGGUUAAUGACUUGCUUCCUAAUUCAUUAGUGGAAGUUGUGGACAAAACUCUGCUAAGUGGAGAGGAAAAACUUUCUACAGCAAAGGAUCAAUGUCUGUUGUCUAUCUUUAUUUUAGCUCUGGAGUGUACAAUGGAAUCACCGGAAAAGAGGAUUAAUGCAAAAGAUAUUGUUACAGGAUUACUCAAGAUAAGAGACAUUGAGUAAAAGGAUUGGAAAUUUAAGUUAAUUUCGUUUGCUUUCAUUGAUAGUUAAAUAGAAUUCAUGUAAUAAGUGUAAGAACCUUAUAUCUUUUCCUUUGAUUUUUUUUCUUGAGAAAACUGUUGCAGUCAUCUUGUUUGCAUGGACAGAGUUGAUUUAGUUCUUCCAAGAAAUGCUACUGAUGAUCUUUGUUUUAUACUUUCUCUUUUUCUUUUUUUUGCAUGUGUUUAGGUAGAAUAGUGAUUUGGUUGCACUUUAAGAAGUCAAACUACACUAAAGAAUAUGAUUUAAUUUAUUAAACAAAACUUCAAGUUCAAGAAAAGUAUCUCAUUGCCCCCAAUGCUUUGGACACCUAUAUAUUGAAAGGUUUGUUGUCCUCAGCUUUUGUUUAGAGCAAAAGUUCGAGUCCCAUAAAGGCUCAAACAUUCCUUUCCUUCAUCCCGAGGGCGCCUUCUGUCCUCUGUUUUCUAUUUCCACACACAAAUAGCAAAAAGAAAUUAGAAUGACAACUGGGACAUAUAUAAGAGUGAAAUAAUUAAAAAAAUUAUGCUUUUUUGUUUGUCGUGUUAAAAUCGUAAGUACCGAAGUACUAUGAAAGAGAUUAAUUUACAGAAACUGAAGCCAAGGGUUAAAAAAAAAGUGCAAAGAGAAUAAUUGUAUUGGUAGCACAAUGUCAUAUUCAUACAGAGAUCAAGUAUAUUAUUUACGGCUAGUAAGGACUAAGAAUUAAUUGUACACUAUUGUUUUAUUCUACAAUCAAUCUUGACCCUUGAUGCUUGGCUCUCAAUCUUGUCCAUUGAUCUUCUCUGAUUUUGGAGACUUGAAGACCUUUCAGUAUCAUGCCUUGUUGUUGGUGUCUUCCAUGCUGUAGAACCGUCGACUUGCCAGGAAUUUGUUCAUUGAUGCAUUUUAUCAAACAGUUGGCCUGCUCAUAGCAAACAGCUCCUGUGUUAACUCCCCCUCCAUAGCUCAACUAUUUGGGAAGACAAUUAAUUGAGCUUGUUUCACAAUUAUAUGAAUCUGAAAGUUCAAGUUCAAUUCGAUGUUAUUGUUGGAGAAUUAACAAAUAAAACACACUAUUUUAUUUCUUCAACAACACUCCUCACCAAUUACAACUCUUAUUUUUCACUCUCUACACCUUAGAGAUUUUGCUACUUCACUUGAUGUUUAAACCAAAUGGGAGAGGGGGUAUUUAUACAUGAAACAAACUAAUCACAACCAUUCAUUUAUUCAACUAAUAAACAAAUCCUCACCAUCCAUUAAAACCUACUACUCACCUACUUCACCAACCACACCUAACACAAAUAAUUCAAACCUCACCAACCAUACCUACUCAUGGAACCUUCCAUGAGUUGGGCUUGAUUUAUUCAUCUUGGAUCAAGUUUAUGAUCCAACAUCUCCCCUUAAAUUUGAUCCUGUGACACCAAGCAAACUUCUGAAUCUUACAAAGUCUUCUUGCUUGAGUGGCUUAGUGAAGAUAUCAGCUGCUUGAUCUUGUGAUUUUACAUACUUGAUUUGCACUUCUUUUUUUGCAAUACACUCUUUUAUGAAAUGAUAGCAAGUGUCUAUGUGUUUACUUCGAUCAUGAAAGACUGGAUUCUUGGAUCGGGCAAUUGCUAAUUUGUUAUCAACACAAAUCUCGAUUGGCUCUUUUUGUGCCAAACUCAACUCCUUCAGCAAAUUUCUGAGCCAAAUUGCAUGACAAACACUUGAUGUGGCAGCUACAUAUUCAGCUUCACAGGUGGAUAGCGUGACAAUUGGUUGCUUCUUUGACAUCCAUGUGAAAGCAGUAUCUCCCAUGAAGAACACAAAUCAUGUUGUGCUCUUUCGAUCAUCUACAUCUCCACCCCAAUCACUAUCGCUAUAUCCAAUAAGCUUGUAGUCAUUAGAAAAUGAGUAUAACAAGCCGAAAUUAAUUGUACCUUUGAUGUAGCGAAGGAUUCUUUUUGCAGCUUUAAAAUGGGUGGUCUUUGGAUUCUUCAUGUAUCGGCUCACAAGUCCAACAGCAUAAAGGAUAUCUGGUCUUGUGCAUGUCAAAUAACGUAAGCUUCCAACCAAACUUUUAAAGAAUGUUGGAUCUAUAUCUUCGCCUUCAUCAUAUUUGGAUAACUUGACUCCGCAUUCCACUGGCGUGCUUAUAGGCUUGCAAUCAUUCAUCUUGAACCUUUUGAGAAUCUCCUUUGCAUAGCUUUCUUGGGAGAUAAAUAUGCCUUCUUCUUUUUGCUUGACUUCAAUGCUGAGGUAAUAUGCCAUCAGUCCGAUGUCAGUCAUCUCGAACUCUUUGAUCGUCACUCUCUUGAACUCUUCAAACAAGCUUGGAUUACUUCCAGUGAAGAUGAGAUCAUUCACAUACAGGCACACAAUCAAAAUAUCUCCAUCUUUUUCUUUGACGUAGAAAGCAUGUUCAUAUGGGCAUUUGUGAAGCCUUUCUCUUAAAAAUACUUGUCAAUUCUGCUAUUCCAUGCCUUUGGUGCUUGCUUUAACCCGUAAAGAGCUUUCUUCAAUCUCAAAACUUUGUCUUCAUGUCCUUUCACCACAUAGCCUAAUGGUUGUUCGAUGUAAACUUCUUCUUCAAGGAAUCCAUUCAAGAAAGCAGACUUCACAUCCAUUUGAAAAAUCUUCCAUUUGUUCUGAACAGCCAAAGAAAUAAUAACUCUAAUAGUUUCAAGUCGAGCUACAGGAGCAAAUACCUCGUCAUAGUCUAUGCCAGCCUUUUGACUAUAGCCUUUUGCAACUAACCUCGCCUUAUGCCUUUCAAUUUCUCCCUUCGCAUUUCUUUUUGUUUUAUACACCCAUUUGACACCAAUCGCCUUGUGACCUUUUGGAAGAGUAGUAAGCUCCCAAGUAUCAUUCUUCACAAUGGCUUUGAUUUCUUCAUCCAUUGCAAUUCUCCACUUCUCAUCUAGUGCAGCUUUUUGGAAGUUGACUGGCUCACAAUCAACAAAGAGGCAAAAGAGAGUGAGAUUAUCAUGUCUCUCAGUUACCUCAUAGAGAUCUUGAAGACUCCUUAUACAUUCUUCGGUUCUUUCAUUUAAGAAAGACGGCGGUGAAUCUCCGCAUGUGGUUGAUGCUGGUGAGAUAGGUAGAGUGGCAGGCUCUUGUUGUUCGUCUACUUGUUUUAUCUAUGUAUGAUCAUCUUCUUAAAUGGGAAAGAAGUUGAAGUCAUCCACACCAGAGCCAAAAUCUCAUUCUCCUUCUUCAUCAAAAACUACAUCUCGACUGAUCACGAUCUUCCCGUUGUUUGGAUUGUAAAGCUUGUGUCCUUUGGAGUUGUUUUCGUAGCCGAUGAAGAUGAACUUCUCACUUUUGUCAUCCAACUUGGCUCUACUUUCGUCUGGUACAUGUACAUGAGCAAUGCUUCCGAAAACUCUUAGAUGGGUGAUGCCGGGUUUUCUUCCACUCCAAGUUUCUUGUGGCGUCUUGCCCCCACACGCUUCUUGUUGGAGAUCGAUUGGAAAAGUAGACUGCACAUGCAACAGCUUCAGCCCAAAAUUCUUUAAGUAGCCUCUUACUCUUAAGCAUGCUUCUUGCCAUAUCGAGGAUGGUUCUGUUCUUUCUUUCUACAACACCAUUUUAUUGGGGGGGAUCUUAGAACUGUCAAAGGACGUCGAAUUCCAUUUACUUCACAAAACUCUAAAAAUUCUUUGGAAGUGAACUCUCCACCUCAAUCAGAUCUCAUGGCUUUAAUCUGGUAUCCACUUUUUUUUUUCAACUGCAGCUUUAAACUUCUUGAAAGCUUCAAAGACUUCUGAUUUUUGCUUCAAAAAAUACACCCAAGUUUUUCUUGAAAAAUCAUCUAUGAAGAGAAGGAAGUAGUUACUUUUCCAAAGGAGUUUGGCUUGAAUGGACCGCACACAUCAGUAUGAAUGAGCUCGAGUGGUUUCUGAGCUCUUGAGUUUGACUCCUUUGGAAAGCUCUUUCUGAACUGCUUGCCAAGUAAACAUCCUUCACAAAGUUGAUCAGGGUGAUUGAUGUAUGGUAAGCCUUUCACCAUGUUCUUCUUAGAUAGUAGCUCCAGUCCUCCAAAGUUGAGAUGCCCAUAUCGAAGAUGCCAAGUUCAGGAUUGAUCUUUGUGACAGGCUUUGAGACAUUUUGCAACAUCAUUUUGAAUAUUUAAUGGAAACAUUCUAUUCUUCGACAUUUUCACCUUUGUAAUUAGAUUUCCUUUGUCAUCUCUUAGGAAAAGACUAUAAUCUUUUAAGUGAACAUCAUAGCCUUUUUCUAAAAGUUGACCUAAACUAAGAAUGUUGCUUUUCAUAUUGGGCACAUAGUAAACAUUCGAAAUUAUUUGGUGGCUACCAUCUUUUGCACGAAAAAGAAUGUUACCUCUACCUUUUACUGGUACUUUUGAAUCAUCUCCAAAAGCGACACUGCCAUUCACAGAUUCACUUAGUUGCACGGACAUGCUUCUAUUUCCACUCAUAUGAUUGCUAGCACCUGUGUCAAGAUACCAUGUAUUUUCUUGAUCUCCACUUGUGUCAUUGCGUGCUAGUAAAAGUGUGCCAUCUUCACCAUUUUUCUCUUCAGCAUAGUUCACUCUCUCAUCAAUUCUGGUGCUUGGAGCUCUGCAUUCUGAAGCAUAAUGCCCAAACUUUUGACAAUUAUAGCACUGUACUUGGGAUUUGUCAUACCUCGAUCUUAGAUUGCCUCUGCCUCGUCCUCUGGUUGAGCUUUCUCCUUUGGCAUAAUUUGAGUUGUUGUUGUUGAAAUUCGAACCUCGUCCAUGACCACGACCUCUACCUCGUCCUCGACCUCUACCUCGGACAUAGUGCCUUCUUUCGUUGUCGGAUUGACUUCCAUCUUGAGAAGUUGUUCUUCGAUUCCUUGCUUUUUUUUUUGUUUUUCUUCAUAGGCUUGCAACCUUCCUUGAAGUUGCUUGAUCGUCAUAUCCUCCAAAUCUCUUGUUUCUUCAAUUGUCACAACAAUAUGGUCAAACUUCGAGUCUACUGAUCAAAGUAUCUUUUCAAUGAUCCUUACCUCUUUUAACUCCUCGCCAUUUCUUUUUAAUUCAUUGGAAACGGUCACAACCCGAGUAAAGUAGUCAGAAAUUGACUCCGAUGCCUUCAUGUGUAAGGACUCAAAUUCUCCUCGUAAUGUUUGGAAACGAACCUUUUUAACUUGCUCUGCUCCUUUGUAAGAAGUCUCUAGUUUCUCCCAUACUUCUUUUGAGGAGGUUGUACCAGCAAUCUUUUCAAAAGAAUCUUCAUAUAAUGAUUGAAAGAUGAGAUAUUUUGCUUUAUUUUCUUUCUUCUUCAAGUCUUUUAAAUUCUCCUUCUGCGCCGCAGUUAAAGUGGCUUCAUUUUCUGGCACAAUAAAGCCUUUCUCCACGAUAUCCCAUACGUCAUGUGCGCCCAAUAGAGCCUUCAUUUUAAUACUCCAAUUGUCAAACUUACUUCCCUUUAAUUGUGGAACUUGAAAUGAAAUCAUACCACCGUUUGCCAUAACUCACAAAUUGAGUGAGAAUUUGGAGAUUCUGAAAGCACAGAUGGAUCUGGCACGUCGAAAAACCUUGGGAAUGACUCGAGUCAACUUUCGGUCAAUGGUCAACAGUCAAUGCUAGUCAACGGUCAACGUCGGGCAACGGUCAAUGCCGGCUUGGUAGUCUUGGUUCAGUCCGGAUUGGUUCAGCUCGAGUUGGCUCGGUUCGACUUGACUCGGUUCAGCUCGGCUCAGCUUGGUUCAGUUCGGCUCAGCUUGGUUCAACUCGGUGAGUCGACUUAGCGUCAGGACAGAAAACUUCCGGCGGCAAGUGUGGGCGCGUUGGGUCUCGGAUCCGGAUGAUUAUUGCGGCGUCACGUUCCUCUCUUCGAGAUCUUCGAUUUGAUAUGCUAUAUGACUAUAUAUAGCAUUAAACACUAACUCUGAUACCAUUUUGUUGGAGAAUUAACAAAUAAAACACACAAAAAACACACUAUUUUAUUUCUUCAACAACACUCCUCACCAAUUACAACUCUUAUUUUUCACUCUCUACACCUUAGAGAUUUUGCUACUUCACUUGAUGUUUAAACCAAAUGGGAGAGGAGGUAUUUAUACAUGAAACAAACUAAUCACAACCAUUCAUUUAUUCAACUAAUAAACAAAUCCUCACCAUCCAUUAAAACCUACCACUCACCUACUUCACCAACCAUACCUACUCAUGGAAUCUUCCAUGAGUUGGGCUUGAUUUAUUCAUCUUGGAUCAAGUUUAUGAUCCAACAGUUAUAUGGGUAUUUCAUUUAUUUGAGUAGGGGUUAGGGGUCAAUUGGAUACAAAUUCAAAAUUAUCCUUACUUGAGAUGGUGAUAAAAGUUGGGGAUUUAGUUUGGGUGUCAUUAGCUACAAAUAUUAAACUCAUACAUCUAAUUCAAAAUUAGAGGGCUGAUAUAUGUGCAUCCUCGUGCACAUUAUAGUGACACGUGUCACCAUCCAACAACCUAUCCAAUGAAAAAUUGACCUGCAUCUUGUGCGCUUCUGAUCAAAAUCCUGAAAAUUAAUCACAAAGUUAUACUUUUAUUAUAAAAAGAAUAAAGAAACUCCAAGAAAAAAAAAAGACUUACAUAAAUAGUUUGAGUAAUCUAGAUUCCAAGUUGUCUAUAUUAGCUUGAUCUUUUUAUAAAUAGUCAUCUUCGAAAAAAAAUUCCACCAAUAUAUAUUUUAAUUUUAUGUUAAUUAAUAAAUAGAAAAAAAAAUCAUUUUAGAAUUAAUUAAAACAUUAUUUAUUGUUGCCAAAAAAAGGAAGAAUUUAGUGAUAAGAAAAAAGUGUCUCAAAUAUACGUUAAAAAAAUUAAUCAUGGUGGGUUCGAUUGAUUGAAUUUUUUUUAUCUUUUUCUUUUUUAAGAAUUAAGACAAUUGGAUUGAUUGAGUAAUAAUAAAAUAUAUGUAUUUGGCAAAUGGCAGGGAGGCUUUCGUCUAAUGCAGAUUGAUUAGAGAGAAAAUAUAACAAUUUUAAGCUCGUCAGAUUCGAAGCUGCUUACUUGUCGUGUGGGGAUCACUUCCGUGUCUUAUUUUUCUAGAAAAAUCUUGAUCAUUGGAUUUCCCAUUAGUCAAUACAGAAAUGUUGAUCUUGAUUCUUGAUUAAGAUCGAAGUUUGAUUCUAACCAACAUGAUGUCAGAUUCAGAUUGCGAAGCAAGCAAAUUGAAAGUAACUUGUUCUAUUUUGAUAAACACAAGUUCUAAUAAAACAUUCUCAUAGUAAAGUGAAUUACCAUCCAACGAUCCAACUCAUGUUUUCAAAUUGUAAAUUGCAAAUCAUGUGUUUGCUCCAUUACAGCGUUUCUUCAAUCUGAAAUAGAGAAUCAUUUGUGUUCUGGAUUAAUCGUGGGUCUAUAUCCAAAUCUAAAAAUUGACUAACUUAAUUUCUAUUAAAUUCUUAAUCCUAACAAGAAAAAUUGAAGAUUAAAAACGACUAAUUUGGUACCAUACCACUAUUGUAACAUAGGUAGAUCCUCUAUUAAUUGGAGUAAAGAUUGAAUUAUCUCAUUUAUUACGGUUUAUCAAAAUCUUGUGUCAAAAUCUAUUAAUGAUAUAGGUUCAAGGAUGAAAGAGUCACUUCAUUACUUUUGAGUUCGCAAAUAGAUGAAUGGAUCUUAUUUUUAGAUUCCGGAGACAAGUUUAUUGGAAGAAACAAGUUUAUUGAUGUGAGGCCAUUGAGAUUGUAAGUUUUAAAUCUGAGAAGAAUACCCACACACCCAUUAUCCUAUUACUCUUAUAUCACAUGAAGAGAAUUCAACAUUUGAUUCACAAGGAAAAAAUUUGUGAGGAUUGUGAGGGUUGAUGGAAUAUAAUUUAGAUACAAAGUGUUUACCAGUGCGAUGCUUCGCAAGUGUUCUGGAAUCAAUAUAAACUCACAUUAUUUUCAUAGUGAUUGUUUCAUUUGCACGUGGAUAUAAUCACAUGUCGAGAUUUUUUUCCUUAAAUUAUGGUCUUAUUUAGUACCGAGGUGUUAUAUCUUUUAACGUACAAUUAUUGUUGGAAAAAAGUUGCAACUAUCAAAUAAAAUUAAUACUAUGUGCUAAAUAUAAUUGUUAAAUAAUAAUUUUGACAAAAUUAGUGAAGUUAUAUAGAUUUUUUUUUAUCAUCCAAGUAUAAAAUCAAAUCAACUUAACUUCUAAGUUAUAUAUCGGCUACUGUUUAUCAUAUGUUUUAGUUCUGUAACUUUUAAGUUAUAGUUACCCAACCUUAAUUCUAAACAAGACCUAUAAAGAUCAAAGAUUUCCUCAUUAAAUUAUAUGUCUUGUGAUUGCUUAUUUAAUUUAUAUUUUUGUUAUUUAUCUUUAUUAAUUAUAAUCAUCUUUUUAUAAAUUAAAAUUGAAGGAAGUUGAUUGAUGUUGUUGACACACACACACACACGCACGCACACACUCACAAAGAUAUAUUGGAAGUGCUUACGUUGACUCAAAGUUGUUGGGAAUUAAUGCAUGUAUUAAUUGAUUUAUUGGGAGUGUUUAAAUGAUUUUGUGAUUUACUUGAUUUAUUGAUUGAAUAUUGUUUGAUUGCUUCACAUCCAUUCUAGAAAGUUUAUUUCUUUGUGAAAUUUCAACGAAAUAUGUUUUUGUUUUUAAAUAAGGGUGUUCUAAAUAAUGUUAAAAAAUAUAUGGACUAAUUAGAAUUAAUUAUUAGGUAAUUAACUUAAUCUGUACAGGGUGAAACAACAUUUAUCCUAAUUAUAUCAUGAUAAAUACUUUUCCGAUUAGAAUUAGGAAAUCAUAGGUUUGUUGAAUUAUUAUUUUUAUUUUUCUUUGCAGAAACGGAUUAGAGAAUUAGAAAACAAUGUUGAUGUCAAAAUCUGAUCUAGUCGGUUAGCGACUUAAUAUCAUAUUACUGCACCAGCAUUAAAUUUAUUUGGUGGAGAAUCGGCUGGUCAAUUGUCAAGAUGUCCUGCAAUCACUAGCGAUUAACCUACGAAUACUUGAAAUCACAGAAGACGGUAAGAGGCACUGGAAGUUUUUUCAACGUGAACCUUCUGACGCUCAAGUCAGUUUAUAGGUUUACCAUAAUAAAAAUAAAUAAUUUCUAUUUAAAACAAAAAAUAGAGAUCAAAAGCUCAAAAAUAAAACCCAAUCCCAAUAUGAAGAAUAAUUUUUUUUUUUUAGCUUGGCCGAAUCCUUCUGCCUCCUAAAGAAACAUAACAGAGAAGUAGGUAGCCAUGUUCCCUAUGUAACGCCCCACUCCCAUCUUUUAUUCCUCCCCCUCUCUUCCGUUGCCUUCUUUUGCUCACUAUCCUUUAUAAUUUUUUAUGCUUGUCUUCCCAAAAUAGCCUUUGAAUACACAAGUAAAUGUCUAGGCUUUGGUGAGGAUAGUUUGGUCAUUGCAUUUUACAAGUAAGAUGACUGGUGGAGAAAAAUGAGGAGUGCACAAAACUCUUCAGCAAAUCCCACCAACAAUUCCAUUUUCUUAAUUAAUUAAUCUCCUUUUUUUAUCCCCAAACAAAUCCUAAUGAUACCAUUAUCAGGUUUAAAACAGUACACAAAUAGUGAAAAGCUAACUAGUCUGUAGAGUAAUUUGCUAAUUGCUAUCUCCUCUCUACGCGCGCUGAAUAAUUUGUUGCAUGCAAACUUUUUAUUUUAUGCAAAUCGUAUGUACUGUAACAUUGGAAUUGAUGGAUAAGCAAAAAUACAAGAAUAUUUAUGCCAAUAAAAAUAGUUUUUUUUUCCUUUUUAAAUAAACACAACGCGAUGUUGCUCUGCUCUACAUUUUUGCUAUCUCUUUAUUCUUUUUUUUUUUUUUUGGGCUUCUUAAAGCCUCAAACUUUGAUAACCAAAACUUCAUCGACCUAUGAAAAAAUCUGCAGAUUAGUUUUUAUUAUCGGAAUAAUUGUUUGAGAAUACUAAAACAAAAUAUAAAAUAAGAAAAUAGGGGGUUAAAUUAGAGGGGGAAAAAAGGCAUGUUCUAUCGAUUACUAUAGCUUAAGGGGAAAAAAAAAAUCAAUUGGGAAUUUUUUUCUUUAAUUUUUGUUUUACUUGAUAGAGAUUUCUCCUUAGUCCUUACAGUUUUAAGUUUGGAUGCCGUAGGGUUAGUAAUUUAGUAUUUCCCUUGCAAGCUGAGGUUAAGGAUGGAAUUUCUUUAAAGAAAUUAAAAAGGAUUAAAGAAAAGCAUACCAAUAGGUAAUUAUAAAUAACCAUAAAUAAACAUAAAAAAAAUGUUUAUGAAGUAAAUUACACAUGCACAUAUUAUUUUUUUGUUAUAUUUCUUACUUGUCUAUUUUAUUUGCUGCUUGAUAACCCUUAAAUACUAAUGUAUUAAAAAAGAUUACUCAAAAUGAUGACCACUGGCUUCGCACCAUUUAACCGGCAUACAUUUCUACAAAUUGAACAAGGCUAUUGAUUUUCAUUAUUUUUUUUUAUAAAUUACUAUUUUAAUUUUCACUUUUUAUUGGGUUGUUUAACGGAUUAGUGAAGUUGGUGGUCGUGAUGCACUCACAAGGUACAAUUUUAUUUUAUAAUUUCAAAUUUGUAUUUUAAAAUGCAGGUACAUUAUGUAUACAUAAUUAUUGAUUUUCAUAUGUGGGUGUUUUGAAAUAUUGCUAAAAGACCAAACUUUAAUAAACUAUUUUUCAUCUUUUUUUCCCUUUUUUCCUAAAGGUUGAGUGAUAUCCGCAUUUUAAAUUCAUGUGCUACAAAAGCUAAUGAAUGCACAAAAUUCUUUUAUUUUUUCCUAGAAAAAUGGUAAGAGAAGAAGAUUUUUCUCUUGAAAAAGAAAAACUAAUACGAUGCAAACAUAGGAAAGAGGUCAGUGUUUUGGAUUAGAAUUUAGUAUUGAGCUGAAUUUUAUACUAAACUCUUUUAUAGUACUGCGAUUAAUGAACUCAUGAUUUGCUUUUGCUUUUACUUCAAGUGAAAGAAAGAGGAAACCUUUUGUUUUUUGUUUGAUUCUUGACUAUAGAUGUUACCUAUAUAGAGAGUUGAGGUAGCUGCCUUAAGUGAUGGUGAUAAAAAGAUUAAGCAGCGCACACAAUCUUACUGUCGUCCAGACCAUCCAGCUGUGAUGGCUCUAGUUUUUUGGUUACAUUAGCUUUAGUGGAAAGGAGGGCCAAUUUAACAAAGACUAGAUUUGGUGGCUUACUAUAAUGCUUAUUCUCAAGGAAUCUAAUGUUAUAAGAUGAUUUAAUGAUCUUCUAUGAUUGUGAGUAGUAUAGUAUAAUUGAAAAGAGCCUGGGCUCCUAUGAUGAAUAUUUAAUAGUAACACAAUAUUGUGAUUGAAAAAAACACUGUUACAAUAAACUCUUCAUUUAUUCAUUGCGGAUAUUGAAUGGCAAACAGAGAAUAAAAUGAAGCAGAGGAAUCUCAUUGCUAGUAAAAUUGACCCUCUUUAAUGUUAUAUGGCACAGGUGUGUGUACAGCAAGAGCAAGUGACUUGCAGUUUUUUUUUGUAAAAUAUACAGGUUAUGACCAUGAUCAUUGUAGUUAGGUUUUGACGAUUUUAGAUGCUUUUUUUAUUUUUUUUAAAUUGUGACACCUUUGAUUUAUGGUAGUUUUGCAGAAGAAAAAAAUAUAUAUAAAAAUUAGGAAGAAUGAGUUAACUAACAAUUGCAAUCAUUACAGCAAUGUUGAUGAGUGAUACAUCAUUUGAAAUUUACUUGUCAGUUGCUAAAAUGAUGAAAAAAAACAAUAAACAAUAGCAGUAAUAUUUUUAUGGAAAUUCUUGGUUUUUAUGGAAAUACUCUUGCUGAAAUUCUAAUUUUGACUUUCAACUCUUGGUUUUUAUGGAAAGUAAAAUGACUUGUUUGUUAUAUUCAUACAAUCCACUCUACAUAAUGAUUUCAUUUUAAUAAAUGCUUGAUGAUCUCCACUGAAAAACUACUUCAAUUCUUUUGUUUUAUUUAACUUUUUGGUUGUUGAAAAUAGCCUUAAUUUUCAAAUAACGGGAGAAAGAGUAAAGAACAUUUAACAAAUUUAUGUGCCAAAAAUAAAGGAGAAAUUGAAGAGAAAGGGUGCUUGCAGAAGUGGGUGCAAAGAUAAAUCAGUCUAUAAGAAUUAUUGUGGUUAUUAAUUUUUUGGCAAUAUAAAAAAUUUUCAGCAAAUAAAAAUUGAUUUUUUCCAAUUUACUAAAAAAUUAAUUAAAAACUUUGGCGAUAGCAUUUUUUGUUGGUGCAUGUACCCUCCCUUUUAAAAAAAUAUAAUAAUUAAUACUUAAUAUAGUAUUAAAUACGAAAAUAUCAAAAUUUGACUACACAAAUUUAUAUCAUUAGGUCCUUAAAAUUUAAAAUUGAAGACAUAGAAUGAAAUAUAUAUAUAUAUAUAUAAAUUUUAUAAUCUUAAAAUAUUUGAGCUUUGAAAGAUUUUUUAAAACAAAUGUACUUUUAUUUUUGUACAAUCAAUAUUUACUUAUUUAUUAUAUUUUUAUUCAUUAACUAUCAAUUGUGUGAGUAUAUCUACUUAGAAAUAUCAUAUCAAGGGAGAAUCUUGAUCCCACGUACACGCAAAUAUGUUAAUUUCUAUACGCUUCACUUACCUGUAGAAUCAAUUAUCUAAAAUGCAAGUUUGUGGCCACAAAAAAGGCCAAAGAAAGAAGAUAAUAACAAUUGACUUGUAUAUUAUACUCAUACAAUCCACUCGACAUAAUGAUAUCAUUUUAAUAAGGCAAUGGCUGAUGAUCUCCAUUGAAAAACUAAUUCAUUUUUUUUGCUUCAUUUAACUUUUUGGUUGUUGAAAAUAACCUUAAUUAUCAAAUAAUUGGAGAAAGAGUAAAGAACAUUUAACAAAUUUAUGUGCAAAAAAAAAAGGAGAAGUUGAAGAGAAAGGGUGCUUGCAGAAGUGGGUGUCAAAGAAAAAUCGGUCCAUAAGAAUUAUUGCGGUUAUUUUUUCGCAAUAUAAAAUUUUUAUAGCGUGUAAAAAUUAAUUUUUUUUCCGAUUUACUAAAAAAUUAACUAAAAACUUCUGCGACAGCAUUUUUUAUGGGUGCAUAUACCCUCCCUUUAAAAAAAUAAUAAUAAUUAAUGCUUAAUAUAGUAUUAAAUACGAAAAUAUCAAUAUUUGACAACUCAAAUUUAUAUCAUUAGGUCCUUAAAAUUUAAAAUUGAAGACACGAAAAGAAAUAUAUAAAAAUUUCAUUCUCAUGGAAAGGAUUCUCUUAUAAUCUUAUAAUAUUUGAGUUUUGAAAUUUUUUUGAAACAAAUGUAAUUUUAUUUGUGUACAAUCAAUAUUUACUUAUUUAUUAUAUUUUAAUUUAUUAACUAUCAAUCAUGUAAGUAUAUUUAGUCAGAAAAAUUAUAUCAAGAGAGAAUUCUAAUUUCACACAAACACAAAUACAAGACAAAUAUGUCAAUUUCUAUACUAUUCACUUUCCUGUAGAAUCAAUUAUCUAAAAUGGAAGUUUGUGGCUACAGAAAACUCGCCAAAGAAAGAAGAUAAUAACAAUUGAGCAUUGAUAGCAAAACUAAUGCAUCAUUUUCUUCUUGACUUGAUGAGAUGGCGCCAUCACAAAAAAACAAGUACCUUAAUUGACGGGCACUGAGUGAUGUGAAUACUACCAGCCAGUUCAUCUCUUCCAGUCUUGCUUAAUCACAAUCACAAACACCACGAGAUUGACAUUUGCAUUAUAUAUAUGUUCAGCAAUCGAAACACCUUGCAUUACCAAAUUAACCGCUAACAAACAAAGCAAUCUUUCAGGGAGAGAAACUUUAGUCUCAGUAUGAUCACUGUGUCAUUAACCCACUUCCUGCUUCUUUGCUUGGUUGUUGUAGCAGCAGCAGCAGCAAGCAACAAUAUUACCACAGACCAACAAGCUCUUCUUGCCCUGAAAGAUCAUAUAAUUUAUGAUCCGACCAACCUUUUAGCCCAUAAUUGGACCUCGAAUACAUCUGUUUGUACCUGGAUUGGCAUCACUUGUGAUGUCAAUAGCCAUAGAGUCGCAGCCUUAGAUAUUUCUCAAUUCAAUCUACAAGGCACCAUCCCUCCUCAACUUGGAAACCUCUCUUCACUCACAACGCUUAAUCUUAGUCAUAACAAGCUUUCUGGAAACGUUCCCUCCUCCAUCUACACAAUGCAUACGCUAAAAUUUCUUGACUUCACUGAUAACCAGCUCUCUGGUUCGGUGUCUUCCUUCGUCUUCAACAUGUCUUCAAUAGUAGAAAUUCGUUUGACCAAUAACAGAUUUUCUGGUGAGCUUCCGAAAAAUAUUUGCAACUAUCUUCCUCAUUUGAAAGCCCUUUUUUUGGACAAAAACAUGUUUCAUAGCAAAAUUCCUUCUGCUUUAUCAAAGUGCAAACAACUGCAACAAUUAAAUUUGCAGUUCAAUAAUUUAUCCGGUGCAAUACCAAAAGAAAUCGGCAACUUGACUAUGCUCAAAGGGAUAUCUCUAUUAUGCAACAAACUCCACGGUAUGUUCAUAAUACUAUGUAAAUAUUUUAAUUUCUCACUUGUUAUUUUUCUUGAAUACUUUAGAUAAGAUCUUGUAACAGAGAUUUUUUUGCAUCUAUGUUAAUUUGCCAGGUGAGAUACCCCACGAAAUCGCUAAUCUUCGAAAUCUAGAGGGUUUAGUGCUUGGAAUGAACAACCUAGUUGGUGUGUUACCAGCUCCAAUCUUCAACAUGUCAACACUGAAGGUACUUAUCCUCAUGGAUAACUCUCUCAGUGGAAGUCUACCAUCAAGAAUAGACCUUUCACUUCCAACUGUUGAGUUUCUUGAGUUGGCACAUAAUAGAUUUUCUGGAACCAUUCCUAGUUCCAUCACCAAUGCUUCUAAGCUCACCGUUCUAGCGUUGGGAGAGAACACAUUUUCGGGCUUCAUUCCAAACACAAUUGGUAAUUUAAAAAACCUUGAGUGGCUCAGCUUGGAGAAUAAUUACUUGAAAUCUUCAACCUCAAAAUUGAGCUUUCUUUCCUCUUUGGCAAAUUGCAAGAAAUUAAGAUUCUUAAACUUAGGAGGCAAUCCACUCGACGGUAUCCUUCCAAGUUCAAUAGGUAAUCUUUCUAAGUCUUUGGAAACACUUGUCAUCGCCAAUUGCAGUAUUAGUGGCAACAUUCCGGAAGCAAUUAGCAAUUUAAGCAACUUGUUGACCUUAGUAUUAGAACGCAAUAAAUUGACUGGACCAAUUCCAAUUACAUUCGGCCCACUACAGAAACUCCAAGGCUUAUAUCUUGCAUUCAAUAUGUUGGUAGGUUCAUUCCCAGAUGAGCUUUGCCAUCUAGGUAGGCUGAAUGAAUUGGUCUUAUUUGGCAAUAAGCUUUCAGGAUCUAUACCUUCAUGCUUAAGUAACCUCACUUCUCUGAAAUCUCUCUACUUAGGGUCCAAUAGGUUUACUUCUGUUAUUCCCUCAACCUUCUGGAGCCUAAAAUACAUCUUGUUCUUUGACUUUUCAUCAAAUUUCUUGGUGGGUCCUCUUUCUUCAGACAUAGGUAAUUUGAAGGUGCUUCUAGGAAUAAAUUUAUCAGAAAAUAACUUAUCGGGUGAUAUGCCAGCCACAAUUGGAGGACUAAAAAACCUUCAAAUUAUGGACCUAGCAUAUAAUAGAUUGGAAGGCCCAAUUCCUGAAUCAUUUGGUGACUUGACAAGUUUGGAGGUUUUGAAUUUGUCAAAUAAUAAAAUCUCCGGGUCUAUUCCAAAAUCCUUGGGGAAACUCUUUUACCUCCGAGAGUUAAAUCUCUCUUUCAAUGAACUAGAAGGUGAGAUUCCUAGUGGAGGAAUUUUUGCCAACUUCACAGCUGAGUCAUUUAUGGGAAAUGAGUUAUUGUGUGGUUUACCAAAUCUUCAAGUCCAACCAUGCAAAGUUAGCAAGCCGAGGACAGAACAUAAAUCAAGGAAAAAGAUACUUCUCAUUGUGAUUGUUUUGCCAUUGAGUAUUGCUCUAACGAUAGCAAUCACUCUAGCUCUCCAAUCUAAGCUGAUCGAAUGUGGAAAAAGAAGCACGGUGUUAUCAAAUGAUAGUAUCUUGUCAUCACAAGCAACACUAAGAAGAUUUUCAUACUUAGAACUUUUACGAGCAACAGAUAAUUUUGCUGAAAACAGCAUAAUUGGCAGAGGAGGUUUUGGUUCCGUUUAUGGAGCAAGACUUGAAGAUGGGAUGAAGAUUGCAAUAAAAGUGUUUCACCAGCAAUGUGCAAGCGCAUUGAAGAGUUUUGAGGCUGAAUGUGAAGUGUUAAAAAAUAUUCGCCAUCGAAACCUUAUCAAAGUUAUCAGCAGUUGCUCGAACGAUGACUUCAAAGCAUUAGUCCUAGAAUACAUGUCCAACGGGAGCUUGGGGGAUUGGUUGCAUUCGAGCAAUUACGUGCUGAAUAUUUUUCGAAGGUUGAACAUAAUGAUUGACUUUGCAUCAGCUUUAGAAUAUCUCCACUUCGAUCAUUCAACUCCUGUUAUUCAUUGUGACUUAAAGCCUAGUAAUGUAUUGUUGGACGAAAAUAUGGUUGCUCAUUUGAGUGAUUUUGGCAUAGCAAAGCUUUUAAGUGGAGAAGAUGAGUCUACGAUGCGAACAAAAACCCUUGCCACUAUAGGUUAUAUGGCACCAGGUUUGCUUCAAACAACUUUUUUUGUUGGUGCAUGUACCCUCCCUUUAAAAAAUAUAUAAUAAUUAAUACUUAAUAUAUUAUUAAAUACGAAAAUAUCAAUAUUUGACUACACAAAUUUAUGUCAUUAGGUCCUUAAAAUUUAAAAUUGAAGACACAAAAUGAAAUAUAUAUAUAAAUUUCAUUCUCAUAGGAAAUGAUCCUCUUAUAAUCUUAAAAUAUUUGAGCUUUGAAAGAUUUUUUAAAACAAAUGUACUUUUAUUUUUGUACAAUCAAUAUUUACUUAUUUAUUAUAUUUUUAUUCAUUAACUAUCAAUCAUGUGAGUAUAUUUACUCAGAAAUAUCAUAUCAAGGAAGAAUCUUGAUCCCACGCACACGCAAAUAUGUUAAUUUCUAUACGCUUCACUUACCUGUAGAAUCAAUUAUCUAAAAUGCAAGUUUGUGGCCACAAAAAAGGCCAAAGAAAGAAGAUAAUAACAAUUGACUUGUAUAUUAUACUCAUACAAUCCACUCGACAUAAUGAUAUCAUUUUAAUAAGGCAAUGGCUGAUGAUCUCCAUGACUCCAUUGAAAAACUAAUUCAAUUUUUUUUGCUUCAUUUAACUUUUUGGUUGUUGAAAAUAACCUUAAUUAUCAAAUAAUUGGAGAAAGAGUAAAGAACAUUUAAAAAAUUUAUGAGCAAAAAAAAAAGGAGAAGUUGAAGAGAAAGGGUGCUUGCAGAAGUGGGUGUCAAAGAAAAAUCAGUCCAUAAGAAUUAUUGCGGUUAUUUUUUGGCAAUAUAAAUUUUUUAUAGCAAGUAAAAAUUAAUUUUUUUCCGAUUUACUAAAAAAUUAACUAAAAACUUCUGCGACAACAUUUUUUAUGGGUGCAUAUAGCCUCCCUUUAAAAAAAUAAUAAUAAUUAAUGCUUAAUAUAGUAUUAAAUACGAAAAUGUCAAUAUUUGAUUACUCAAAUUUAUAUCAUUAGGUCCUUAAAAUUUAAAAUUAAAGAUACGAAAGGAAAUAUAUAUAAAUUUCAUUCUCAUGGAAAGGAUUCUCUUAUAAUUUUAUAAUAUUUGAGUUUUGAAAUUUUUUUGAAACAAAUGUAAUUUUAUUUGUGUACAAUCAAUAUUUACUCAUUUAUUAUAUUUUAAUUUAUUUAUUAUAUUUAGUCGGAAAAAUUAUAUCAAGAGAGAAUCCUAAUUUCACGCAAACACAAAUACAAGACAAAUAUGUUAAUUUCUAUACUAUUCACUUUCCUGUAGAAUCAAUUAUCUAAAAUGCAAGUUUGUGGCUACAGAAAACUCGCCAAAGAAAGAAGAUAAUAACAAUUGAGCAUUGAUAGCAAAACUAAUGCAUCAUUUUCUUCUUGACUUGAUGAGAUGGCGCCAUCACAAAAAAACAAGUACCUUAAUUGACGGGCACUGAGUGAUGUGAAUACUACCAGCCAGUUCAUCUCUUCCAGUCUUGCUUAAUCACAAUCACAAACACCUCGAGAUCGACAUUUGCAUUAUAUAUAUGUUCAGCAAUCGAAACACCUUGCAUUACCAAAUAAACCAGUAACAAACAAAGCAAUCUUUCAUGGAGAGAAACUUUAGUCUCAGUAUGAUCACUGUGUCAUUAACCCACUGCCUGCUUCUUUGCUUGGUUGUUGCAGCAGCAGCAGCAGCAGCAGCAAGCAACAAUAUUACCACAGACCAACAAGCUCUUCUUGCCCUGAAAGAUCAUAUAAUUUAUGAUCCGACCAACCUUUUAGCCCAUAAUUGGACCUCGAAUACCUCUGUUUGUACCUGGAUUGGCAUCACUUGUGAUGUCAAUAGCCAUAGAGUCACAGCCUUAGAUAUUUCUCAAUUCAAUCUACAAGGCACCAUCCCUCCUCAACUUGGAAACCUCUCUUCACUCACAACACUUAAUCUUAGUCAUAACAAGCUUUCUGGAAGCGUUCCCUCCUCCAUCUACACCAUGCAUAGGCUAAAAUUUCUUGACUUCACUGAUAACCAGCUCUCUGGUUCGGUGUCUUCCUUCGUCUUCAACAUGUCUUCAAUAUUAGACAUUCGUUUGACCAAUAACAGACUUUCUGGUGAGCUUCCGAAAAAUAUUUGCAACUAUCUUCCUCAUUUGAAAGCCCUUUUUUUGGACAAAAACAUGUUUCAUAGCAAAAUUCCUUCUGCUUUAUCAAAGUGCAAACAACUGCAACAAUUAAAUUUGCAGUUCAAUAAUUUAUCCGGUGCAAUACCAAAAGAAAUCGGCAACUUGACUAGGCUCAAAGGGAUAUAUCUCGGCGCCAACAAACUCCACGGUAUGUUCAUAAUACUAUGUAAAUAUUUUAAUUUCUCACUUGUUAUUUUUCUUGAAUACUUUAGAUAAGAUCAUGUAACGGAGAUUUUUUUGCAUCUAUGUUAAUUUGCCAGGUGAGAUACCGCACGAAAUCGCUAAUCUUCGAAAUCUAGGGGAUUUAGUGCUUGGAAUGAACAACCUAGUUGGUGUGUUACCAGCUCCAAUCUUCAACAUGUCAACACUGAAGGUACUUAUCCUCAUAAACAACUCUCUCAGCGGAAGUCUUCCAUCAAGAAUAGACCUUUCACUUCCAACGGUUGAGGUUCUUAUCUUGUCACUUAAUAGAUUUUCUGGAACCAUUCCUAGUUCCAUCACCAAUGCUUCUAAGCUCGCCUUGCUAGAAUUGGGAGUAAACACAUUUUCGGGAUUUAUUCCAAACACAAUUGGUAAUUUAAGAAACCUUGAGUGGCUCGGCUUGGGUAAUAACUACUUGACAUCUUCAACCUCAAAAUUGAGCUUUCUUUCCUCUUUGGCAAAUUGCAAGAAAUUAAGAGACAUAGGCUUAACAGGCAAUCCACUCAACGGUAUCCUUCCAAGUUCAAUAGGUAAUCUUUCCAUGUCUUUGAAAACACUUUACAUCGGCAAUUGCAGUAUUAGUGGCAACAUUCCUCAAUCAAUUGGCAAUUUAAGCAACUUAUUGGCCUUAGUAUUAGAAGUCAAUAAAUUGACUGGACCUAUCCCAACUACAUUCGGCCGACUGCAGAAACUCCAAGGCUUAUAUCUUGCAUUCAAUAAGUUGGUAGGUUCAUUCCCAGAUGAGCUUUGCCAUCUAGCAAGGCUGGAUCAAUUGGUCUUAUUUGGCAAUAAGCUUUCAGGAUCUAUACCUUCAUGCUUAAGUAAUCUCACUUCUCUGAGAUCUCUCUACUUAGGGUCCAAUAGGUUUACUUCUGUCAUUCCCUCAACUUUCUGGAGCCUAAAAGACAUCUUGUUCUUUGACUUUUCAUCAAAUUUCUUGGUGGGUCCUCUUUCUUCAGACAUAGGUAAUUUGAAGGUGCUUCUAGGAAUAAAUUUAUCAGAAAAUAACUUAUCGGGUGAUAUGCCAGCCACAAUUGGAGGACUAAAAAACCUUCAAAUUAUGGACCUAGCAUAUAAUAGAUUGGAAGGCCCAAUUCCUGAAUCAUUUGGUGACUUGACAAGUUUGGAGGUUUUGAAUUUGUCAAAUAAUAAAAUCUCCGGGUCUAUUCCAAAAUCCUUGGGGAAACUCUUUUACCUCCGAGAGUUAAAUCUCUCUUUCAAUGAACUAGAAGGUGAGAUUCCUAGUGGAGGAAUUUUUGCCAACUUCACAGCUGAGUCAUUUAUGGGAAAUGAGUUAUUGUGUGGUUUACCAAAUCUUCAAGUCCAACCAUGCAAAGUUAGCAAGCCGAGGACAGAACAUAAAUCAAGGAAAAAGAUACUUCUCAUUGUGAUUGUUUUGCCAUUGAGUAUUGCUCUAACGAUAGCAAUCACUCUAGCUCUCCAAUCUAAGCUGAUCGAAUGUGGAAAAAGAAGCACGGUGUUAUCAAAUGAUAGUAUCUUGUCAUCACAAGCAACACUAAGAAGAUUUUCAUACUUAGAACUUUUACGAGCAACAGAUAAUUUUGCUGAAAACAGCAUAAUUGGCAGAGGAGGUUUUGGUUCCGUUUAUGGAGCAAGACUUGAAGAUGGGAUGAAGAUUGCAAUAAAAGUGUUUCACCAGCAAUGUGCAAGCGCAUUGAAGAGUUUUGAGGCUGAAUGUGAAGUGUUAAAAAAUAUUCGCCAUCGAAACCUUAUCAAAGUUAUCAGCAGUUGCUCGAACGAUGACUUCAAAGCAUUAGUCCUAGAAUACAUGUCCAACGGGAGCUUAGGGGAUUGGCUGCAUUCGAGCAAUUACGUGCUGAAUAUUUUUCAAAGGUUGAACAUAAUGAUUGACGUUGCAUCAGCUUUAGAAUAUCUCCACUUUGAUCAUUCAACUCCUAUUAUUCAUUGUGACUUAAAGCCUAGUAAUGUAUUGUUGGAUGAAAAUAUGGUUGCUCAUUUGAGUGAUUUUGGCAUAGCAAAGCUUUUAAGUGGAGAGGAUGAGUCUACGAUGCGAACAAAAACCCUUGCCACUAUAGGUUAUAUGGCACCAGGUUUGCUUCAAACAACUUUUUUUUAAAGUUCAUUUUAAAUUUUCCAACUUAUUGAUUUUUACAAUCCUCAUAUCAAAAUGUUAUUGAUUAUUUAUCUAAUUGUGAAAUUAAUUUGAUUAAUAGAGUACGGCAUUGAAGGAGAAGUAUCUACAAAAAGUGAUGUUUACAGCUAUGGGAUUAUGUUGAUGGAAACUUUUACCAAGAAAAAACCCACAGAUGAAAUUUUUGUUGGGGAAUUGAGCUUAAAGCGUUGGGUUAAUGACUUGCUUCCUACUUCAUUAGUGGAAGUUGUGGACAAAACUCUGCUAAGUGGAGAGGAAAAACAUUCUGCAGCAAAGGAGCAAUGUCUGUUGUCUAUCUUUAGUUUGGCUCUGGAGUGUACAAUGGAAUCACCGGAAAAGAGGAUUAAUGCAAAAGAUAUUGUUACUAGAUUACUCAAGAUAAGAGACACAUUGAGUAAAAGGAUCGGAAAUUUAAGUUAAUUUCGUUUGCUUUCAUUGAUAGUUAAUCUGAAUUCAUGUAAUAAGUGUAGGAAUCUUAUAUCUUUUCCUUUCAUAUAUUUUUUUUUCUUGAGAAAACUGUUGUAGUCAUCUUGUUUCCAUGGACAGAGUUGAUUUAGUUCUUCCAAAAAAUGCUACUGAUGACCUUUGUUUAAUACUUUCUCUUUUUUUGCAUGUGUUUAGGUAGAACAGUGGUUUGGCUGCAGGCUAAGAAGUCUAACUACACUAAAAGAAUAUGAUUUAAUUUAUUAAACAAAACUUCAAGUUCAAGAAAAGUAUUUCACUGCCCCCAAUGCUUUGGACACCUACUUGUUGCGGACCGCCCAAUUCGCUAGCCCAAUUGCCCACAAUUUCGGGCUAGAGAGCCAACACAAGGCCAAGAGUGCUAGCUUGGCCCAAUUCCGAAAGGUUCUAGGCAACUCUAGCACAUGUGAACAUGUAAAUAUUCUAGAAUACUUUAUACAAUUCCAGCACAUGCAAAUAGCUAGGAAAUUGUAAAAUACUCUAGAGUUUGACCAAGUUUGGCAAAGUUAGGCAAAGUUAGGCAAAGCCUCCCCUAUAAAUAUGGGAUGGCAUUAGGCAUUUGUAUCCAAAAAGCUUUGUAAGCAACUUAAGCAUUGUAUUCUCUCUUUGUGCAAUACAAGUUUUCUUCUUUGGCUCAAUUGCUCUCUUCUCUAGUUCGAGAAGCUCUAGGCUUACUUAGCAACAUUCGGCAAAGUUGUCUAAGUGCCGCACGGGUUAGCUGCGCAAAACACUCAUCUCGUGACAAGUGGUAUCAGAGCUAAGGUUUGCACGCACGCAAAUUAGCUCACGAAGCAAUGGCCAACCCUUCGAACGUAGCACAAGAGGGUGUUGUUGGUGUGGAUGUUCCACCGGAACUAAGCCGUGGCCGAGAGGGAGAACGUGCCCAAGGCAAGACUCGCGGCAAGUCCAAGGCCCUAUCCGUGGAUGCGUUGGAGCCUCGUGUAGGCACUCUCGAAAUCGCAUUGUCCACCGCUCAAGAAAGCCUCGAGGGAUUGGAGGAACGAGUGGACGGACUCGAGGGAGAAUACGCCGAAUUCACGGUGGCAACCAAAGCUCUCAUCCAAGAACAAGCAAACACUCUUCGAGGUGAGUGUUCAAGACGAACUACGCGCUGUCCGUGCGGAAGUGGAUGAAGUCCGCUCGGAUUGGGCAUGGCACAAGCGCACACUCUCCUCAAGUCCAGCUUCCGCAAACUCGAGUGAUGCGCGCCGCAUUGACGUGCCAAAGCCCGACACCUACGAUGGCACACGCAAUGCCACAAUCGUGGAUAAUUUCCUCUUUGGUCUGGAUCAAUACUUUAAUGCCAUGGGUGUACGAGAUGAGGCAUCGAAAGUGGGCACUGCACCCACCUAUCUUAGAGGCGCUGCACAACUAUGGUGGCGUCGCAAACAUGGCGAGAUGGGCAAGGGCAUUUGCACCAUCGACAUUUGGUCCGACUUCAAGCAAGAACUCCGAAAGCAGUUCGCCCCAAGCAAUGCGGAGAAGGAAGCGCGAGCGCGCUUACGUCGCCUCAAGCAAUCGGGUAGCAUUCGGGACUACAUCAACGAGUUCACUACCCUUAUGUUGGAGAUAAGCGACAUGUCCAACAAGGAUUCACUCUUCUACUUCCAAGAUGGCCUCAAGGAUUGGGCCAAAACCGAGCUUGAUAGGCGUGGUGUUCAAACACUUGACGACGCCAUCGCCAUUGCGGAAUCGCUCACCGAAUACUCUACCCAAUCCAAAGACAAGAAGUCUAGCCAAGGCAAAGGUGGGGGAGAGAGUCGUAAGGACAAGGGCAACAACCGCAAAGAUUGGGGGCAGAAAAAGCCGCCUAGCAACAAGAGCUGGCAGGGAAAAUCGGAGGGCAAGAAGGAGGCGCCAAAGCCACGAAGCCCAUGCUUCAUAUGCAAUGGUCCUCAUUGGGUACGCGACUGUCCGGAGAAGCGGUCGCUUAAUAUUCUUGCUGCCCAACUCAAGAGCAACCCCACAAUGUCCGUGGAGGAACCCCAACUUAGCAUGGGUUCUCUCCAACGCCUCGGCGCCCUCAACCGCCAACAGCCCGCGCUAGUCAAGAAAGGGCUCAUGUAUGUUAGCGCAAAGGUAAACAGCCAGUCCGUUCGCGCGUUGCUAGACACGGGAGCAACACACAAUUUCGUGUCCGUAGAUGAGGCCAAGCGUUUAGGCCUCAAGGCCACCAAGGAAUGAGGCACAAUGAAGGCAGUAAACUCACCCGCCAAGCCAAUUGCGGGAAUUGCACAAGGCGUACACAUCACACUUGGUACGUGGAGCGGAAAGCUUGACUUCUCCAUCCUGCCCAUGGACGACUUCAAGAUGGUCCUGGGCAUGGAAUUCUUCGACCAAGUCUAUGCCUUCCCGCUGCCUACUACGAACUCCCUAAGCAUCCUCGAUGGGAGUAAAGCAUGCAUGGUACCCACGGAGCGAGGCAAGUCCGAGGAGAAGACACUCUCCACCAUGCAAUUCAAAAGGGCUUUCAAGAAGGACCCAAGCUUCUUGGUCUCCAUUCGGGAACUAAAUGAGGAAAGAAAUAGCGGAACGUCGCCAAGCCAAGUCCCUCCGCAAAUAUACAGAGUCCUCAAUGAGUACGAGGAUGUGAUGCCUCCAGAACUUCCGAAGAAGCUCCCACCUCGACGAGAGGUAGAUCAUGCGAUCGAGCUAGAACAAGGCGCGAAGCCAACAGCCUUGGCGCCCUACCGUAUGGCGCCAUCUGAAUUAGAGGAGUUGCGGAGACAACUCAAAGACUUGCUGGACGCAGGCUACAUUCGCCCCUCAAAGGCCCCAUUCAGUGCACCCGUGCUCUUCCAAAAGAAAAAGGAUGGAUCGCUGCGGAUGUGCAUCGACUAUAGAGCGCUCAACAAGAUCACUAUCAAGAACAAGUAUCUGAUUCCCGUGAUUGCGGACUUGUUCGACCAGCUUGGCAAAGCGCGGUACUUCACCAAACUUGACUUGCGCUCCGGGUAUUAUCAAGUGCGCAUCGCCAAGGGAGAUGAACCGAAGACAGCGUGCACAACAAGGUACGGGUCUUUCGAAUUCCUUGUGAUGCCUUUUGGUCUUACUAAUGCACCCGCCACAUUUUGCACGCUCAUGAACAAGGUGCUCCAACCAUUCCUCGACUGCUUCGUGGUCGUGUACUUGGAUGACAUAGUGGUGUAUAGCACCACGCUCGAGGAUCAUGCCCGACAUUUGCGACAAGUCCUCCAAGUACUUCGAGACAACGAGCUCUUCCUCAAACUAGAGAAGUGCUCGUUUGCCCAACAAGAAGUGGAGUUCCUUGGCCAUAAGAUUGCGGGUGGGAAGAUCAUGAUGGAGAAUGACAAAGUAAAGGUCAUCCUCGAUUGGGAGCCUCCCUCGAAAGUACCCGAACUUCGCUCAUUCCUUGGACUGGUGAAUUACUACCGCCGCUUCAUCAAGGGCUAUUCAGCUAAGGCGGCACCCUUGACGAAUAUGCUCAAGAAAAACAGAACAUGGCAUUGGUCCGAAGAGUGCCAACGCGCAUUCGAGGAGUUGAAAAGAACAAUUUCGGAGGAACCCGUCCUCGCUCUUCCGGACCACACAAAGCCCUUCGAAGUGCAAACGGAUGCCUCGGAUUUCGCCAUAGGAGGAGUCCUUAUGCAAGAAGGCCACCCUAUAGCGUUCGAGAGUCGAAAGCUAAAUGAUACAGAACGCCGCUACACGGUGCAAGAAAAGGAGAUGACCGCAAUCAUACAUUGCUUGCGGGUGUGGCGACAUUACUUGCUUGGCUCGUACUUCACGAUUAUGACGGAUAACGUGGCGACAAGCUACUUUCAAACUCAGAAGAAGUUGAGUCCGAAGCAAGCACGGUGGCAAGAUUUCCUUGCGGAAUUCGACUACCGGCUGGAGUACAAACCGGGGAAAGCCAAUGUCGUUGUGAACGCUCUAAGCCGCAAGGCCGAAUUGGCGACACUUAGCAUGAGCCAACCAAAGUCUGACCUUGUCUCACGCAUCAAGGAAGGCCUCCAACAAGAUCCGCUAGCCAAGGAUUUGCUGGAGAAGGUGCUCGAGGGAAAGACAAGACGAUUUUGGCAAGAGGAAGGCAUCCUCCUCACCAAGGGAGAUCGGCUAUUCGUGCCAAGGUGGGGAAACUUGCGGAAGGAAGUAAUCAAGGAGUGCCACGACUCUAAGUGGGCCGGUCACCCAGGAAUCGAGCGCACCACCGCACUAGUUCAAGCCUCGUAUUUUUGGCCGCACAUGAGGGACGACAUCGAGGCAUAUGUGCGAACUUGUCUUGUGUGCCAACAAGACAAAGUGGAUCAUCAACUUCCAGCGGGAUUGUUGGAGCCGUUACCACUAGCAACAAGGCCAUGGGAAAGUGUCUCCAUGGAUUUCAUCACAUCGCUGCCCAAGUCCGAAGGUUGUGGAAGCAUCAUGGUCGUUGUCGACCGAUACAGCAAAUAUGCCACAUUCAUUGCCGCACCAGCCGAUUGCAAAGCGGACGAGGCAGCCCGCCUAUUCGUCAAGCACAUUGUGAAGCUUUGGGGAGUUCCGAAGAGCAUUGUGAGCGACCGAGACCCUCGAUUCACUGGACGCUUUUGGACGGAACUCUUCAAAAUGUUGGGGACCGAUCUCAAGUUCUCGACAAGCUUCCACCCACAAACGGAUGGGCAGACCGAGCGCAUUAAUGGCCUCCUCGAGAUGUACCUGAGGCAUUAUGUGAGCGCUCACCAGCGGGAUUGGGCGAAGCUACUCGACAUUGCCCAAUUUUCUUAUAACUUGCAGCGAAGUGAGGCUACGGGCAAGAGUCCAUUCGAGAUCAUCAUGGGAUUUCAGCCCAUGACCCCCAAUGCCAUAGCCUCGACUUACGGAGGGAAAAGCCCCGCGGCACACAAGCUCGCCCGCGAAUGGCAUGAGGAAGCGGACAUCACGCGAGCCUAUCUCGACAAAGCCGCGAGGAAAAUGAAGAAAUGGGCUGAUACAAGGAGACGGCAUGUUGAGUACAAGGAAGGAGAUCAAGUCAUGAUCAAGCUCCUACCCCAACAAUUCAAGACUUUGCGGAAAGUUCACAAGGGGUUAGUGAGGUGCUACGAGGGAUCCUUCCGAGUUGUUCGACGUGUAGGCAACGUCUCGUAUCAACUCCAACUUCCGCCAAGACUCAAGAUCCAUCCGGUCUUCCAUGUGAGCCUUCUCAAGCCAUAUCAUGAAGACAUGGGAGAACCAAGUCGCGGAGAAUUGAGGCGCGCGCCAACUGCCGUUGUCACCGCGUUCGACAAAGAUGUGGACUACAUCAUUGCGGACCGAACGGUUUCGAGGAGGGGCGUGCCAGCACAUAGCGAGUACUUGGUGAAAUGGAAAAACCUCCCCGAGAGCGAAGCCACUUGGGAACGGGAAGAUGAUUUGUGGCAAUUCGCUGAGCACAUCCAGCACUUCAAGCACGAGAGCGCGACGAGGACGCCGCGAGCUUAGGUGGGGGAGGAUGUUGCGGACCGCCCAAUUCGCUAGCCCAAUUGCCCACAAUUUCGGGCUAGAGAGCCAACACAAGGCCAAGAGUGCUAGCUUGGCCCAAUUCUGGAAGGUUCUAGGCAACUCUAGCACAUGUGAACAUGUAAAUAUUCUAGAAUACUUUAUACAAUUCCAGCACAUGCAAAUAGCUAGGAAAUUGUAAAAUACUCUAGAGUUUGACCAAGUUUGGCAAAGUUAGGCAAAGUUAGGCAAAGUUAGGCAAAGCCUCCCCUAUAAAUAUGGGAUGGCAUUAGGCAUUUGUAUCCAACAAGCUUUGUAAGCAACUCAAGCAUUGUAUUCUCUCUUUGUGCAAUACAAGUUUUCUUCUUUGGCUCAAUUGCUCUCUUCUCUAGUUCGAGAAGCUCUAGGCUUACUUAGCAACAUUCGGCAAAGUUGUCUAAGUGCCGCACGGGUUAGCUGCGCAAAACACUCAUCCCGUGACAUACUGGUAGGUAUGUACGUGUCCUCAACUUUUUUUCGGAGCACAAAAUUCGAGUCCCAUGGAGACUCAAACAUUCCUUUCCCACAUCCCGAGCACGCUAAAUUCAUCAGACUAACAACUGUGACAUAUACAAGAGUGAAAUGUUUAGAGAACGCUAAGUACUAUGAAAGAGAUUAGUUUACGAAAACUGAAGCCAAGGGUUCAUAAAAAAGUGCAAAGAGAAUAAAGGACAACGCUUAUGUAAAGCGACAUAGUUGUAUUCAUAGCACAAUGUCAUAUUCAUACAGAGAUCUAGAAUAUUAUUUACAGCUGGUAAGGGCUAAGAAUUGAUGUAGCUAGAAUACAAAGACGAUAAGGUAUGUUGUGCACUAUUGUUUUAUUCUACGAUCAAUCUUGACCCUUGAUGCUUGGCUCUCAAUCUUGUCCAUUGAUCUUCUUUGAUUUUGGACACUUCAAGACCUUUCAGUAUCAUUCCUUGUUAUUGGUGUCUUCCGUGCUGUAGAAUUCAUAUACAAGCCUUCCCGCCGACUUGCCAAUUAUUUGUUCAUUGGUGCGUUUUGUCAAGCAGUGUGGAUACUUAUACCAAACGCUUUCUGUUUUAACUCCCCCUUUCAAGCUCAACUAUCUGGGAAGACACUAAUAAGCUUGUUUCUCAAGUAUAUGUAUGUGAAAAUUAAAAUUUCAAAAUAAUAUUCGGACUCUACAUUUUCUAAUGAACAUUGGUUUGGCUCAUAAGCUUAUUAUACUUGGGCUUGGUAGGAUUAUCGGUCGGUAGAUGAACAAGUGUUAGAGCUUUCGAAUUUAUGCCAAUUAAAAAAAAAAAAAUCUAUAUAAAUUUUCCACUAGGCUAUUACCACAAUAAACAUUUGGAUGAACUAUUAUUGAAACCUUAUUGAGAAGUAGGACAUGUCGCAUACCAAUGCACUGACAUAUCUUCAAAUAGUGGUAACUCCACACAACAUGGCACAAUAAAUUAAGAGUUAUAUAGAUAAAAUCUUUCACUCUUUGGUAAUCAUCAAUGUCGGCAUGGCAAUGCGUCCGACAAAAUUCAUAAAUCAAAACAAAAAUAGAGAAUCAUAUUUGUUCCAGAUUGUAGUGAUGGUUGUUGAUGCACUCACAAUUUACAAUUUUAUUUAAUAUCUUCACAUUCGCAUUUUAAAAUGCACAAAUGUUUGUGUAUACAUAAUUAGUAAUCGAUUCUCAAGCAUGGACAUUUAAAAGCACUGCUGAAAGACAAAAUUUUAAUUUACUAUUUUUUGUCUUUUAAUUUUCUUUAAGUUUUAAUGAUUCCGCAUUUUGGCGAAGGAAUUGCAACCGCAUUUGGAGCUAGUUUUAAUUUUGUCUUUUAAUUCUUUUACACUUGGCUUUUGUUAUUGAUGUUAACUUCGAUGUGUGUGCGUGUGCGACUGAAUUCAACUUACACGCUAUUGAUGCAGCCACCAAAAAGGGGUGGUCCAUCAUCAAUCAACAAGGUUUAUUAUUAUUUCCAUAUUGAUUUUCUUAAUUAUAAAUAAUACUAAUGCUAUUUCAUAGUUAUAAAUAUAUUAGAAUUAAUCGAAAUCAUUUUUUAGUGUGGCAUGGCUAAAACUACCUUUUUUUUUUAUAAGUAAUUACUACUUUCACAUUAAGAAAAAAUACUCCUAUUUUUAAGGAAAAGUCAAGUACCUGUAGUUGUGAAGACUCGAGCUCACUCCCUUAUGAUAAAUCUUCAUAUUAAUUACGUAAAUAUCCUCUAAAAUUUUAAAUUAACUAUUCAAAAUUCGAUGUUAUACAGGUAUUUCAUUUAUUUGAGUAGGGGUUAGGGGUCAAUUGGAUACAAAUUCAAAAUUAUCCUUACUUGAGAAGGUGAUAAAAAUUGGGGAUUUAGUUUGGAUGUCAUUAGCUACAAAUAUUAAACUCAUACAUUUAAUUCAAAAUUAGAGGGCUGAUAUAUGCGCAUCAUCGUGCACGUUAUAGUGACACUGCGUCACCAUUCCACAACCUCUCCAAUGAAAAAUUGACAUGCUUCUUGUGCGCAUCUAAUCAGAAUCUUGAAAAUUAAUCACAAAAUUGUACUUUUAUUAUAAAAAGAAUAAAGAAACUCCAAGAAAAAAAAAAGACUUACAUAAAUAGAUUGAAAAAUCUAGAUUUCAAGUUGUCUAUAUUAGCUUGAUAUUUUUAUUAAUAGUCAUCCUCCCAAAAAAAUUCCAUCAAAAUAUAUUUUAAUUUUAUGUUAAUUCAUAAACAUGAAAAAAUCAUUUUAGAAUUAAUUAAAACAUAAUUUAUUGUUGCUCAAAAAAGGUAGAACUUAGUGAUCAGAAAAAAAGUAUCUAAAAUAUAUGUUAAAAAAAAUCAUGGUUGGUUAGACUGAUUGAAUUUUUUUUCUUUUUUAAGAAUUAAGACAAUUGGAUGGAUUCAGUAAUAAUAAUACAUAUUUAUUUGGCAAAUGGCAGGGAGGCUUUCGUCUGAUGCAGAUUGAUUAGAGAGAAAAUAUAACAAUUUUAAGCUCGUCAGAUUCGAAGCUGCUUACCUGUCGUGGGGGGAUCACUUCCGGUGCAUGUUGUCGUGUUAAAUUCUCGUUGACUUCACGUUGACUGAAGCAUUAUUGGAAGAAACAAGUUUAUUGAUGUGAGGCCUUUGAGAUUGUAAGUGUUAAAUCUGAGAAGAAUACCCACACACCCAUUAUCCUAUUACUCUUCUAUCACAUGAAGAGAAUUCAACAUUUGAUUCACACGGAAAAAAAAUUUGUGAGGAUUGUGAGGGUUGAUGGAAUAUAAUUUAGAUACAAAGUGUUUACCAGUGCGAUGCUUCGCAAGUGUUCUUGAAUCAAUAUAAACUCACAUUAUUUUCAUAGCGAUUGUUUCAUCUGCACGUGGAUAUAAUCACAUGUCGAGAUUUUUUUCCUUAAAUUAUGAUCUUAUUUAGUAUUGAGGUGUUAUAUCUUUUAAGGUACAAUUAUUGUUGGAAAAAAGUUGCAACUAUCAAAUAAAAUUAAUACUAUGUGCUAAAUAUAAUUGUUAAAUAAUAAUUUUGACAAAAUUAGUGAAGUUAUAUAGAUUUUUUUUCAUCAUCCAAGUAUAAAAUCAAAUCAACUUAACUUCUAAGUUCUAUAUCGGCUACUGUUUAUCAUAUGUUUUAGUUCUGUAACUUUUAAAUUAUAGUUACCCAACCUCAAUUCUAAACAAGACCUAUAACGAUAAAAAAUUUCCUCAUUAAAUUAUAUGUCUUGUGAUUGCUUAUUUAAUUUAUAUUUUUGUUAUUUAUCUUUAUUAAUUAUAAUCAUCUUUUUAUAAAUUAAAAUUGAAGGAAGUUGAUUGAUGUUGUUGACACACACACACGCACGCACACACUCGCAAAGAUAUAUUGGAAGUGCUUACGUCGACUCGAAGUUGUUGGGAAUUAAUGCAUGUAUUGAUUUAUUGGGAGUGUUUAAAUUGAUUUAUUAAUUGAAUAUUGUUUGAUUGCUUCAUAUCCAUUCUAGAAAGUUUAUUUCUUUGUGAAAUUUCAACGAAAUAUGUUUUUUUUUUUAAAUAAGGGUGUUCUAAAUCAUUUUAAAAAAUAUAUGGACUAAUUAGAAUUAAUUAUUAGGUAAUUAACUCAAUUUGUACAGGGUGAAACAACAUUUAUCCUAAUUAUAUCAUGAUAAAUACUUUUUUGAUUAGAAUUAGGAAAUCAUAGGUUUAUUGAAUUGUUUUUUUUUUCCUUUGCGGAAAUGGAUUAGAGAAUUAGAAAACAAUCAUGUUGAUGUCAAAAUCUGAUCUAGUCGGUUAGCGACUUAAUAUCAUAUUACUGCACCAGCAUUAAAUUUAUUUGGUAGAGAAUUGGCUGGUCAAUUGUCAAGAUGUCCUGCAAUCACUAGCGAUUAACCUACGAAUACCUGAAAUCACAAAAGACGGUAAGAGGCACUAGAAAUUUUUUCGGCGUGAACCUUCUGACGCUCAAGUCAGUUUAUAGGUUUACCAUAAUAAAAAUAAAUAAUUUCUAUUUAAAACAAAAAAUAAAGUUCAAAAGCUCAAAAAUAAAACCCAAUCCCAAUAUGAAAAUGAAUUUCUUUUUUUUUUUUAGCUUGGCCGAAUCCUUCUGCCUCCUAAAGAAACAUAAUAGAGAAGCAGGUAGCCAUGUUCCCUAGGUAACGCCCCACUCCCCUCUUUUAUUCCUCCCCCUCUCUUCCGUUUCCUUCUUUUGCUCACUAUCCUUUAUAAUUUUUUAUGCUUGUCUUCCCAAAAUAGCCUUUGAAUACACAAGUAAAUGUCUAGGCUUUGGUGAGGAUAGUUUGGUCAUUGCAUUUUACAAGUAAGAUGAGUGGUGGAGAAAAAUGAGGAGUGCACAUAACUCUUCAGCAAAUCCCACCAACAAUUCCAUUUUCUUAAUUAAUUAAUCUCCUUUUUUAUCCCCAAACAAAUCCUAAUGAUACUCUUAUCAGGUUUAAAACAGUACACAAAUAGUGAAAAGCUAACUAGUCUGUAGAGUAAUUUGCUAAUUGCUAUCUCCUCUCUACGCGCGCUGAAUAAUUUGUUGCAUGCAAACUUUUUAUUUUAUGCAAAUCGUACGUACUGUAACAUUGGAAUUGAUGGAUAAGCAAAAAUACAAUAAUAUUUAUGCCAAUAAAAAUAGUUUUUUUUCCUUUUUAAAUAAACACAACGCGAUGUUGCUCUGCUCUACAUUUUUGCUAUCUCUUUAUUCUUUUUUUUUUUUUGGGCUUCUUAAAGCCUCAAACUUUGACAACCAAAACUUCAUCGACCUAUGAAAAAAUCUGCAGAUUAGUUUUUAUUAUCGGAAUAAUUGUUUGAGAAUACUAAAACAAAAUAUAAAAUAAGAAAAUAGGGGGUUAAAUUAGAGGGGGAAAAAAGCCAUGUUCUAUCGAUUACUAUAGUUUAAGAAAACAAAAUCCAAUUGGGAAUUUUUUUCUUUAAUUUUUGUUUUACUUGAUUGAGAUUUCUCCUUAGUCCUUACAGUUUUAAGUUUGGAUGCCGUAGGGUUAGUAAUUUAGUACUUCCUUUGCAAGCUGAGGGCAAGAAUGAAAAUCUUUAAAGAAAUUAAAAAAGAUUAAAAAAAAGCAUACCAAUAGGUAAUUAUAAAUAACCAUAAAUAAACAUAAACAAAAUAUUUAUGAAGUAAAUUACACAUGCACAUAUUAUUUUUUUGUUUUAUUUCUUACUUGUCUAUUUUAUUUGUCUAUUUUAUUUGCUGCUUGAUAACCCGUAAAUACUAAUCUAGUACUGCUAAUUUCAGACACAAAAUUUUUAACUCUAGGCUGCAGUUUUGCUCAAAAUGAUGACCACUGGCUUCGCACCAUUUAACCGGCAUACAUUUCUACAAAUUGAACAAGGCUAUUGAUUUUCAUUAUUAUUUUUUAUUUAUUUAUAAAUUACUAUUUUAAUUUUCACUUUUUAUUGGGUUGUUUACAAUUUUAUUUUAUAAUUUCAAAUUUGUAUUUUAAAAUGCAGGUACAUUAUGUAUACAUAAUUAUUGAUUUUCAUAUGUGGGUGUUUUGAAAUAUUGCUAAAAGACCAAACUUAAUAAACUAUUUUUCAUCUUUUUUUCCCUUUUUUCCUAAAGGUUGAGUGAUAUCCGCAUUUUAAAUUCAUGUGGAACAAAAGCUAAUGAAUGCACAAAAUUAUUUUAUUUUUUCCGAGAAAAAUGGGUAAGAGAAGAAGAUUUUUCUCUUGAAAAAGAAAAACUAAUACGAUGCAAACAUAGGAAAGAGGUCAGUGUUUUGGAUUAGAAUUUAUUAUUGACCUGAAUUUUAUACUAAACUCUUUUAUAGUACUGCGAUUAAUGAACUCAUGAUUUGCUUUUGCUUUUACUUCAAGUGAAAGAAAGAGGAAACCUUUUGUUUUUUGUUUGAUUCUUGACUAUAGAUGUUACCUAUAUAGAGAGUUGAGGUAGCUGCCUUAAGUGAUGGUGAUAAAAAGAUUAAGCAGCGCACAAAAUCUGACUGUCGUCCAGACCAUCCAGCUGUGAUGGCUCUAGUUUUUUGGUUACAUUAGCUUUAGUGGAAAGGAGGGCCAAUUUAACAAAGACUAGAUUUGGUGGCUUACUAUAAUGCUUAUUCUCAAGGAAUCUAAUGUUAUAAGAUGAUUUAAUGAUCUUCUAUGAUUGUGAGUAGUAUAGUAUAAUUGAAAAGAGCCUGGGCUCCUAUGAUGAAUAUUUAAUAGUAACACAAUAUUGUGAUUGAAAAAAACACUGUUACAAUAAACUCUUCAUUUAUUCAUUGCGGAUAUUGAAUGGCAAACAGAGAAUAAAAUGAAGCAGAGGAAUCUCAUUGCUAGUAAAAUUGACCCUCUUUAAUGUUAUAUGGCACAGGUGUGUGUACAGCAAGAGCAAGUGACUUGCAGUUUUUUUUUGUAAAAUAUACAGGUUAUGACCAUGAUCAUUGUAGUUAGGUUUUGAUGAUUUUAGAUGCUUUUUUAUUUUUUUUAAAUUGUGACACCUUUGAUUUAUGGUAGUUUUGCAGAAGAAAAAAAUAUAUAUAAAAAUUAGGAAGAAUGAGUUAACUAACAAUUGCAAUCAUUACAACAAUGUUGAUGAGUGAUACAUCAUUUGAAAUUUACAUGUCAGUUGCUAAAAUGAUGAAAAAAAACAAUAAACAAUAGCAGUAAUAUUUUUAUGGAAAUUCUUGGUUUUUAUGGAAAUACUCUUGCUGAAAUUCUAAUUUUGACUUUCAACUCUUGGUUUUUAUGGAAAGUAAAAUGACUUGUUUGUUAUAUUCAUACAAUCCACUCUACAUAAUGAUUUCAUUUUUAAUAAAUGCUUGAUGAUCUCCACUGAAAAACUACUUCAAUUCUUUUGUUUUAUUUAACUUUUUGGUUGUUGAAAAUAGCCUUAAUUUUCAAAUAAUUGGAGAAAGAGUAAAGAACAUUUAACAAAUUUAUGUGCCAAAAAUAAAGGAGAAAUUGAAGAGAAAGGGUGCUUGCAGAAGUGGGUGCAAAGAUAAAUCAGUCUAUAAGAAUUAUUGUGGUUAUUAAUUUUUUGGCAAUAUAAAAAUUCUUCAGCAAAUAAAAAUUGAUUUUUUUCCGAUUUACUAAAAAAUUAAUUAAAAAAUUCGGCCACAGCAUUUUUUAUGGGUGCAUAUACCCUCCCUUUAAAAAAAAAUAAUAAUUAAUGCUUAAUAUAGUAUUAAAUACCAAAAUAUCAAUAUUUGGCUACUCAAAUUUAUAUCAUUAGGUCCUUCAAAUUUAAAAUUGAAGAUACAAAAGGAAAUAUAUAUAAAUUUCAUUCUCAUGGAAAGGAUUCUCUUAUAAUCUUAUAAUAUUUGAGUUUUGAAAUUUUUUGAAACAAAUGUAAUUUUAUUUGUGUACAAUCAAUAUUUACUUAUUUAUUAUAUUUUAAUUUGUUAACUAUCAAUCAUUUAAGUAUAUUUGGUCAGAAAAAUUAUAUCAAGAGAGAAUCCUAAUUUCACGCAAACACAAAUACAAGAUAAAUAUGUCAAUUUCUAUACUAUUCACUUUCCUGUAGAAUCAAUUAUCUAAAAUGCAAGUUUGUGGCUACAGAAAACUAAUGCAUCAUUUUCUUCUUGAUUUGAUGAGAUGACGCCAUUACAAAAAAAUAAGUACCUUAAUUGACGGGCACUGAGUGAUGUGAAUACUACCAGCCAGUUCAUCUCUUCCAGUCUUGCUUAAUCACAAUCACAAACACCACGAGAUUGACAUUUGCAUUAUAUAUAUCUUCAGCAAUCGAAACACCUUGCAUUACCAAAUUAACCGGUAACAAACAAAGCAAUCUUUCAUGGAGAGAAACUUUAGUCUCAGUAUGAUCACUGUGUCAUUAACCCACUUCCUGCUUCUUUGCUUGGUUGUUGCAGCAGCAGCAGCCGCAAGCAACAAUAUUACCACAGACCAACAAGCUCUUCUUGCCCUGAAAGAUCAUAUAACUUAUGAUCCAACCAACCUUUUUGCCCAUAAUUGGACCUCGAAUACCUCUGUUUGUACCUGGAUUGGCAUCACUUGUGAUGUCAAUAGCCAUAGAGUCACAGCCUUAGAUAUUUCUCAAUUCAAUCUACAAGGCACCAUCCCUCCUCAACUUGGAAACCUCUCUUCACUUACAACGCUUAAUCUUAGUCAUAACAAGCUUUCUGGAGACGUUCCAUCCUCCAUCUACACCAUGCAUUCGCUAAAAUUUCUUGACUUCACUGAUAACCAGCUCUCUGGUUCAGUGUCUUCCUUCGUCUUCAGCAUGUCUUCAAUAUUAGAAAUUCUUUUGACCAAUAACAGAUUUUCUGGUGAGCUUCCGAAAAAUAUUUGCAACUAUCUUCCUUAUUUGAAAGCCCUUUUCUUAAACAAAAACAUGUUUCAUGGCAAAAUUCCUUCUGCUUUAUCAAAGUGCAAACAACUGCAACAAUUAAAUUUGCAGUUCAAUAAUUUAUCCGGUGCAAUACCGAAAGAAAUCGGCAACUUGACUAUGCUCAAAGGCAUAUAUCUCGAAUACAACAAACUCCACGGUAUGUUCAUAAUACUAUGUAAAUGUUUUAAUUUCUCACUUGUUAUUUUCUUGAAUACUUUAGACAAGAUCUCGUAAGGGAGAUAUUUUUGGAUCUGUGUUAAUUUGCCAGGUGAGAUACCCCACGAAAUCGCUAAUCUUCGAAAUCUAGAGGAUUUAUUGCUUGGAAUGAACAACCUAGUUGGUGUGUUACCAGCUCCAAUCUUCAACAUGUCAACACUGAAAUUAUUUGACCUCAUAAAUAACUCUCUCUCCGGAAGUCUUCCAUCAAGAAUAGACCUUUCACUUCCAACUGUCGAGUUUUUUGGCUUGGCACUGAAUAGAUUUUCUGGAACCAUUCCUAGUUCCAUCACCAAUGCUUCUAAGCUCACCGUUCUAGCGUUGGGAGAGAACACAUUUUCGGGCUUCAUUCCAAACACAAUUGGUAAUUUAAAAAACCUUGAGUGGCUCAGCUUGGAGAAUAAUUACUUGAAAUCUUCAACCUCAAAAUUGAGCUUUCUUUCCUCUUUGGCAAAUUGCAAGAAAUUAAGAUUCUUAAACUUAGCAGGCAAUCCACUUGACGGCUUCCUUCCAAGUUCAAUAGGUAAUCUUUCUGUGUCUUUGGAAACACUUUUCAUCGGCAAUUGCAGUAUUAGUGGCAACAUUCCUCAAGCAAUUAGCAAUUUAAGCAACUUGUUGACCUUAGCAUUAGAAUUCAAUAAAUUGACUGGACCAAUUCCAAUUACAUUUGGCCGACUACAGAAACUCCAAGGCUUAGAUCUUGCAUUCAAUAAGUUGGUAGGUUCAUUCCCAGAUGAGCUUUGCCAUCUAGCAAGGCUGGAUCAAUUGUACUUAUUUGGCAAUAAGCUUUCAGGAUCUAUACCUUCAUGCCUAAGUAAUCUCACUUCUCUAAGAUCUCUCUACUUAGGGUCUAAUAGGUUUACUUCUGUUAUUCCCUCAACUUUCUGGAGCCUAAAAUACAUCUUGUUCUUUGACUUUUCAUCAAAUUUCUUGGUUGGUACUCUUUCUUUCGACAUAGGUAAUUUGAAGGUGCUUCUAGGAAUAAAUUUAUCAGAAAAUAACUUAUCGGGUGAUAUGCCAGCCACAAUUGGAGGACUGAAAGAUCUUCAAUUUAUGGACCUAGCAUAUAAUAGAUUGGAAGGCCCAAUUCCUGAAUCAUUUGGUGACUUGACAAGUUUGGAGGUUUUGAAUUUGUCAAAAAAUAAAAUCUCUGGGUCUAUUCCAACAUCCAUAGAGAAACUCAUUUACCUUCGAGAGUUAAAUCUCUCUUUCAAUAAACUUGAAGGUGAGAUUCCUAGUGGAGGAAUUUUUACCAACUUCACAGCUGAGUCAUUUAUGGGAAAUGAGUUAUUGUGUGGUUUACCAAAUCUUCAAGUCCAACCAUGCAAACUUAGCAAGCCUAGGACAGAACAUAAAUCAAGGAAAAAGAUACUUCUCAUUGUGAUUGUUUUGCCAUUGAAGAUUGCUCUAACGAUAGCAAUCACUCUAGCUCUCAAAUCUAAGCUGAUCGAAUGUAGAAAAAGAAGCACAGAGUUAUCAAAUGAUAGUAUCUUGUCAUCACAAGCAACACUAAGAAGAUUUUCAUACUUAGAACUUUUACAAGCAACAGAUAAUUUUGCUGAAAACAACAUAAUUGGCAGAGGAGGUUUUGGUUUCGUUUAUGGAGCAAGACUUGAAGAUGGGAUGAAGAUUGCAAUAAAAGUGUUCACCAGCAAUGUGCAAGCGCAUUGAAGAGUUUUGAGGCUGAAUGUGAAGUGUUAAAAAAUAUUCGCCAUCGAAACCUUAUCAAAGUUAUCAGCAGUUGCUCGAACGAUAACUUCAAAGCAUUAGUCCUAGAAUACAUGUCCAACGGGAGCUUGGAGGAUUGGCUGCAUUCUAGCAAUUAUGUGCUGAAUAUAUUUCAGAGGUUGAACAUAAUGAUUGACGUUGCAUCAGCUUUAGAAUAUCUCCACUUCGAUCAUUCAACUGCUAUUAUUCAUUGUGACUUAAAGCCUAGUAAUGUAUUGUUGGACGAAAAUAUGGUUGCUCAUUUGAGUGAUUUUGGCAUAGCAAAGCUUUUAAGUGGAGAGGAUGAGUCUACGAUGCGAACAAAAACCCUUGCCACUAUAGGUUAUAUGGCACCAGGUUUGCUUCAAACAACUUUUUUUUUAGUUCAUUUUAAAUUUUCUAAAUCAUUGAUUUUUACGAUCCUCAUAUCAAAUUGUUACUGAUUAUUUAUCUAAUUGUGAAAUUAAUUUGAUUCAUAGAGUACGGCAUAGAAGGAGAAGUAUCUACAAAAAGUGAUGUUUACAGCUAUGGGAUUAUGUUGAUGGAAACUUUUACCAAGAAAAAACCCACAGAUGAAAUUUUUGUUGGAGAAUUGAGCUUAAAGC